GAGAGCGGACACUGACCUGCAUGUGUGAUGAGCCAAGCUGAGAAAGCAAAGGGAUCUUCUCUUCCGAACAUGUUGCUUCUCCUCUAUAACAUGAUCAUUAUGUGGCAAUACACUACAGAGAAAAAGGAGACAAGAGAGGCAAAAGAAGAUACAGGAAAAUGGGCAGUGAGAAAUCAACCUUCUUCCCACCAUUUGGAAACUCUUUCUUACAGACAACAGUUAACAACAGCCUGCUACUGUACCCAUCAAGCAAGAACUGCCCCUGGUACCUUUUGGCUCUGUUACAUUUUUAAAUAUUUUCUGGGUAGAUACAUAAGAACAGAAACAGGACACCAACGUGCAUCAAAACCACUACUUCGUGCAAACUGCUUUCUGUGGAAAAAAGAAAUGGGCUACCAGAGCUAAUUCUAAGCAGCCAGAACAUCGCAGGAUUCAGAAAUGUUUGUCUGGGGAAAAUAUGCAGCCCCAGCACAGCUGAACAGAAGAGGACCAGAUGUCAUUCUUUUUCCAUUCUGGGGAAAGGGAAAAGGUUUCCUACAACAUCAUAUUUUCCCUUCGUCUCAGGAAAAGCUGGAUUAAUAAAUAAACAUCAUAAUGUGAA